AUAUGGACUGGCCCAAAGUCAAGAGGUAGAGAAGCACGUUCAGCUACCCAUGCCAUCAUGGCAAGGGCACAGAUGCAGGAAACAUUUCCAUUCCCUCAUCUGCAGAUGACCUGGAUGUCUGUUUCCUGAGACGGAUAUCAGUAAGAAUUGGGAUAGUAGAGUUUCAUAGAGGCUGAAUGCCCUGAAUUGAAAGUCCGGAGAGCACUUCAAACCAG
rnacentral:lncRNA from 1 species